UUGAGCGUCAUGCGUCUUAGGGAGAGACGCAUGAGGCUCAUGCGUCUCUAAAUCGCCCCUAAGACGCAUGAGGCUCAUGCGUCUCUAAAUCGCAUAAAUCAGACGAGGGAGAGGCAGUAGCCUCAUUCAGACGCGGCAGAAAGGGAGAAAGGCGAUUUCUUGGCCACAUUCCGUUAUAUUCCGAAAUCAUGCCAGUAUUCAUGAGUUUAUAUUGGGAUGGUAGAAUAGUUCAACUUCCUCAAGUGUGCAUUGGUUAUGAUCCACCUCGUGCGAGAGCCUCCAUCGUAUUGAAUUCGUGUGUUUCAUUUUCCGAAUUAGUUGCAAUGAUAUAUGCUAAGAUAAAGAUAGAUUCAAAUCAACACUCCAUCAUUGUUUCUUGGGUACCGCGAGGUAUAUAUGCACUAGGGUUGACAGUGAUGGCAGUGUGAUGUUUAUGUUCAAUGAGGCUUUAAAUUAUACUCGUCAUAUUGAAUUAUUUGUUGAGUAUGCGUCUAUUGGAAAUGCCUUAAUCCUACCAGUUGUUGAUUAUGGUGUUGGAUCAUCUACGAGGGUUGAACCUAUGAGCAUUGAUUGCGGUAUGAAUGAGCAAACAGAUGUUGCAGAUGCUGUAGAUGUUGGAUUGAAUACUCAAGAGAAUGUUCAAGAGCAUAUUGAUGUUCAUGUUGUACGAGGAGACCUUGAUCAACCAUUGUCGUCAUCAUCAUCUGAUGAUAUUUUAAGUGAUGAUUAAUGUGAUCUUUCUAGUGAUGAGGAGGUAGUGUGUAAACCCGUCGUGCAAGGUGAACAGCCACUUCCAGAAUACGUUCACAGUGGGUUGAAAUAUUUUCGCAGACCGCCGAGUGGUCCUUCUGAGGUACCUGAAGUUGGUAAUGAACGCAGUACUAUGUACUGGGAUGAAGAACACUCGUAUCGGAUUAAUGCGGGAACAAAAUUUGAUAGCAAGCUGCAUGUGAAGACUGCUAUUACCAUGUGGAGUCUGAGGCAACACCGACAAUUUAGGGUGGUUGAGAGCAAAUUAAGAAGGUGGCAUGCCGUAUGCAAAUAUCCAGCAGGGAGGACAGAAGAUGGGAUAGCUAUUAUCAGCAAGACCGACGCUGAAAAAGCGAAUGAAUGUCGGUGUGAAGUUUCUGUUACACAAAUGGCCAUGAUGAUAUGUGGGAGAUUAGGAAGUGGGUGGGACGCCAUAGUUGUGAAGGCCAUCGUAAUGAUAGAGGACAUGCUAACUUUUCAUCACCAAUGAUUGCUUUGUGUACUCGCCAUCAGUUGCUAAAAAAUGCCGAGUUCAAAGCCGCAGUCGUAAGAAAUUUUGUUCAUGACAAAUUUCAUGUGGUAAUCAGUUAUAAGAAGGCAUGGUAUGCACGGAGAAGGACUUUAGAGAUUGUAUUUGGUGGAUGGGAGGAGUCAUUUAGGGAUUUGCCAAGCUACAUGCUUGAACUGUAGUCUAGGAAUCCAGGCACAAUCGUUGAGUGGAGGCAUAACGAGUUGUUGAGCCAGGGUCGUAAUAAAGUCUUCUAUUACGUUUUCUGAGCACUUUGGCAUGCUAUACAUGCUUUCCAAGAGUGUCAACCAGUUUUAACAAUAGACGGGACUCACCUUCGAGGAAGGUUUGAAGGUAAGUUGCUUGUUGCUUGUGGUGUUGAUGCUAACAAGAAAUGUCUGUCUAUUGCAUAUGCUGUUGUUGAUGAAGAAACUAGCGACAGUUGGGAGUGGUUUUGGAUCAUGUCAGAAUUCAUGUGUUGAAAUACCAAAGGGAGGUUUGCAUCAUUUCGGAUAGGCAUAAAGGAAUCCUUAAGGCUAUGCGUUCUGAUGAAUGGAAAAAGCCGUUGAUAUGUCACCACAAAUUUUGUUUGAUCCAUGCGAGGAAAAAUAUCUUGACGAAACUUAAGGGUAAGGGAGAUAGAGUGAAAGGCAUGGUAUGGGCAUUGGGUGUCACAACUCAAGUACGCAAAUACAUGCGAAGGCGACGUGCACUACGGGAGGAAAGUCUUGUUGCGAUACACGAGCUUAACAAAGCCAAAAAAGAAAACUGGUCUCUUUGUUACGAUGAUGAACUGAGAUGGGGGGUGCCCUCAACAAACAUGUCAGAGAGCUACAACAACGUGUUGAGAGGUAUAAGAGAGUUGCCAAUUAGAGCUUUGGUUGAUCUGACAUUUUGGAGAACAGUGCAAUGGUGGGCAGAUAGAAAGACAUAAAUACAACAUACCGAAGGUCGGUUGACCUCGUGGGCGAGGGACAAACUUGCUGCGAAUGAUGCGAAGGGGCAACUGCAUUACUGUUCAGUACUUGCCAGAGAACUAGGUCAUUACCAAAUUCUAAGUCGUCCACGUGUCGAAAAGGGACAGGCAAAGGGCAAUAACAGACAAGACGUCGAGUUUAUGGAUUCAAAGUGCAGUUGAGGGAAGUGGCAGAUGUGGAGAGUUCCUUGUUCACAUGCGUGCGCCGUUGCCAGAGAUAGAGGUAACUCUAUGUUUGAACUCAUUGAUAAACACAACCACAAAGUUACAUGGGAAGCACAGUACUAUGGUGGCUCAUUUCAAGCACCAAGACACGAAGACUAUUGGACAAAACCUGGAUGGAAAUUGCGUAUCACCCCUGAGCAGUUGCUUCCUCGAAAGCGCGGACGAGGCAGAACACGGAGGAUUCCUAAUCAAAUGGAUGUCCGGAGGAAGAUGAACCGAGAGCUCCCCGCAAGUGCGGGAAUUGCGGCGUAGAGGGUCAUGACCGAAGAAAUUGCACAGUCGGUCGUGUUAUGUAGGAGCUUCCUGAAGAAAUUGUUGACAUCUGUAGUGCAGGAGCUGGAGACGAAGAUGAAUUAGCAGGAGAACAAUAUUAUUUUGAUGAAUUGUAAUUUCUUCUAUCUGACACCAAUUAGACGGUUUUGUUUUGCUACAAUUCUGCUGAUGAAAUGUUCCUUGUAAUUUCUUCUGUGUAUCUGCCACUCUACAUGACUAUCGA